UACGGAGGAUGCGAGCGUUAUCCGGAUUUAUUGGGUUUAAAGGGUGCGUAGGCGGUCCGUUAAGUCAGCGGUAAAAUCGCGGGGCUCAACCCCGCUCCGCCGUUGAAACUGUGUCCCUUGAGUGCGCGAAGGGUAGGCGGAAUGCGUGGUGUAGCGGUGAAAUGCAUAGAUAUCACGCAGAACUCCGAUCGCGAAGGCAGCCUACCGGCGCGCUACUGACGCUCAUGCACGAAAGCGUGGGUAUCGAACAGG
rnacentral:rRNA from 1 species